rnacentral:tRNA from 1 species
GCCCGGCUAGCUCAGUUGGUAGAGCAUCAUACUCCUAAAGUGAAGGUCCGGGAUUUGAGCCCGUCUGGGCA